CACCAGAUAGCUCAGUUGAUAGAGCUCUUCACUUGAGAUUCAGGAGGCCGGGGUUCGAAUCCCAGUCUGGUCC
rnacentral:tRNA from 1 species